UCCAUACACAUGUAUAGAGGGAUGGGAGCAAGCCUUAGGCUUGUAUUUCUAUAUAAGGGGAGGUCCCUCCCCCAUUUUGGGGGUUCAUAAAUUUUAGGAGCAAAAUUUCGCUCUCUCUCUCUCUAGAAUCCUCUCUCUCUUCCUAUUUAGUGUUUGAAAGUGAGUUUCCUUUGCAUAUUUGCACUAGCAUCCUUAGUCAAAUUAGACUACCUUGUAGCUGAGGUUCUUGGAGGUCUUAUUUGAGCUCUCAAAGUUGGUUUUGGUUCAGAAAGUUGACUGUUUUGCUGUUGUGCUUCAAAGGUAAACACUUACCCCUUUUAAGCUUAUUUUUGCACACUAGUUUGGUCACCUUUGCAUGAUGUUUUUGGCCUCCUUUUCAACUACAAAAACCUCUAUUUUUAAGGUUUAAAAAUUAUGGUUUAAGGUCCUUUUGGAGUUGGGGGUGGUCAACCCGCUUUUGUUGCCUAUUUGCUAAGAGUUGUGCUAUCUUUUAAAGCUUUUCAAACAAUUCUUUUUUGGCCCUUUAACCACUGAAUUCUAGAGGAAUAUCAGUGGUAAAACCUUGGUUUUGAGGUCUAAAAUUGGAGGGGGUGUGGCCUCCCCUCCUUGUAUCUUAUUUGCAUGUGUAGA
rnacentral:sRNA from 1 species